rnacentral:rRNA from 1 species
UACGAAGGGUGCAAGCGUUACUCGGAAUUACUGGGCGUAAAGCGUGCGUAGGUGGUCUGUUAAGUCUGAUGUGAAAGCCCUGGGCUCAACCUGGGAAUUGCAUUGGAUACUGGCAGGCUAGAGUGCGGUAGAGGGUAGUGGAAUUCCCGGUGUAAGCAGUGAAAUGCGUAGAGAUGCGGAGGAACACCGAUGGCGAAGGCAGCCCCUGGGCUAGUACUGACGCUCAUGCACAAAGCGUGGGGAGCAAACAGG